rnacentral:sRNA from 1 species
AGUGUUUUGCCUGAAUUGGUGUUUCUGCACCAGGAAUCUGCCUGGUGUGUGCAAAGGCCAGAAGAAGGCAAAAGAGGGUGUCAGGUGCCCUGAACCAGGAGUUAUCGCAUGGGUGUUGGGAAUCGAACCAGGGGCCUUUGAAGAGCAGCCAGGGCUGUUAAAUGCUGAGCCAUCUCUGAAACCAUAGUUCAAGACUUCGUGAUGAACAACUGUCUCCAGGCUACAACAAAAGGAAAGGGCAAGUUUGCAAAGAAGAAAUAGAAAAACUGAACAGAUAUUCAACACCACUGACUGGGGAAACACAAAGAAACUUUUGCCUCAAAUUGGCAAAAAAUGUGCAUGAUCAGACACUGUCAGGAGUAAAGGGGAACCCUAUUAACUACUUCUGAAAGUAUAAACUGCGGGUUAUUUUGUAGUGCUUUCGGUGGUCUCUGUCUGCACCUCAGGUUGCAGGAUUCCUAUGCACUUGCUUCUGAUUCCUGACUUUGCAUCUAUGUCACACGUGCAGCUUGCAGUCAGCCGUGGAGGAAGAGCUUCACACCAAGGCGAUUAACAAGAGCUACAGCCACCCCCACUGAUUUGCGGAAGACAGGUGUUAGCAUCUGUCAGCAUCUCGGGGCAGGAAAAGUUCGUAAUCCAUGCUCUACUCUGUCUCUGAGAUAUCAUCUAAAGUUUCAUGCAUUCAAACUUGGUCCACAGCUGGCUGGGCACCCCAGGAAGGGGGUAGAACCUUUAAGGGGCCACAGGGAAAGUGCUCCUAAAGUAGAUUGUGUGACCCCAGAGUACUCGCCAGCUUUCUGUCACUGUGACAAAAUGCCCAAGACAAUCAACACAUAAGGAGGAGAGGCUUAGCUUAGCUUGUGGUUCCACAAGCUGAUAGCUGCUUGGUUCUGUUGCCCGUUGUGAGGAAGCCAGACAUGGAGGGGGUUAUUUACUUCAUAGAAUCGGAGGAGCAGAGAGAGAGGAAGGGGCCAGGGUCCAAUAUCACAGGCAUGUUCUGUCACAGUUAGCCUCCUCAUGAAGCACUUAGAACCAUGCACAGUUAAUUGGCUAGACUUCCAGGUGCAAAAUAGGUGUGGCAUUUGAGCCACAAGGAAUGGCACAGCUGUGGUUCUCGUGGUAACCGCUUCUCUCUGAGGGCUUACUCAAGGCAACAGGGACUUGCUGGGUCUUGCCUAUCCACAGGUUCCUGUGUUUCACCCCAAGGGAUUGAAAGUUGAUUCUCUAAGGAUUGGGUUGAAGGCUUCUCCAGCUCUUGAGGGAUCUUAGAACCGAAUCCCUUGGCUUUUUGCUCACUUCUUCUCGGCGUGUGCAGGGAAAGAAGGUGCUGAUUGCUGGCGCUUGCACUCCCUCUCCUCAUUUUGAAAUGAUGUACACAAGCAUUGCUCAAAGGGUAGCAUCCCUGUAUCUCUAGAAGGGAGGGAAUGGCCCUGCAGGCUUUCUCAGGUGGCCAGAUUAGCUGUCGGUCUUUAACUUCUGAUACUGCAGAAGACGUUCUCCCUAAAUUUCCUCUUCAUCUCAGGUGUGGUACAACGUUCAGAAAAUAGCCACAUCUGUGGUUUAGAUUGAUCCUAGAUUAACCUGUGAGACGGUUGGCUCAUAGGGGUCAAAGGGUACUCAGGAAAGAUCUCCCCUUUGCUUUCCCUCCAUAGCCACUGAGCUAAAUCCCCACCUGCUUCAGUGACCUUCUAGGUCGGUGUGGGCCAUCUGCUCUGGGAAAGUUUGGGGGCUUCAUCCGACCCAAAAGCCGGAGUCAGUUGGCUCCAGGGAAGGAAGCAAUGUUACACAGCCUGAUUGCCUUUCUGUACCGUUACUGCUGCUAUUGGUAAGUGUCAACCGACUGAGGGAAGUUCUGUUUUACAUGGAGUAGCGACCUUCACAACUGAAUUCCACCUUGAGGCAAGGAUCAGGAAGGAGUUUGUCUUUGGAGUCAGGGUCUCCCAUGAACCCAGGCUGGCCCGGAACUUCCUACACAGCUGUAGAACGUUUGGACGUCAGACUCUCCUACCUAAACAUCCUGAUUGUAAUGCUGCGAUAACAGUGUGAGCCACCAUGACUCAUGGAGACCUCCCCUUAUAACAGCUUGUCACCAACCCCGGAGCCUCAUGCUGAGCCGAAUUUGAUGCACACAGAUCUGUAAACAUCCAUCAGGGGCAAAGGAGCCCCUUUCAUGAAGAUGGUGACCCCAUUCACUGCAGGGAAUGCACGCCUUUCUUACCUCAAGACCCAAAGACAUCAUUUCCACUUGAAGUCAGCUUCUUUGCCCCAGCUGUCCUCAGAUGUCCUACUGUUAAAACUUUGGUUAAAGUCUUUCCUGAAGAUCUGGAUAAGGGUGUGGCCAGCUCUUCAUUAGGGUUGCCUAACCUAGGUAUGUGCAAGCUCUUAGCUCUGAUUCCCAGAACAGAAAAACAGUCAAACCAUCCAUCAGUCAUUAAUCAGCCUGUCUACCUCCCUCGCUUCUGAAUCAAGCAUGGUGGUGUAUGCUUGUUUUCCCAGACUUGAGAGGCAGAUGGCCAGCUCAAGACCUGGGUUACGUAGUGAGACCCUUUCGAAAUCAGCCUCUCCGGGUGUCGUCUCUGAAGCUCGAGCAGCGGCUGUAGCUUUCACUACACGGUCCACCAUGUCUGUGAAUGCUUCAUGUUACGGUUUGGUUCCCAGAAGAUGGUUCCUACCAGGCCCAGCAGCAGCAGCAAACACAGGGUAAACAUGUGACCAGAAAGAGGUGCAUUGAUGUUGGGAGAGUUCGGCAAGCAAA